AGAGGCGCCAGCCAAUCGGAG
rnacentral:misc_RNA from 1 species